AUUGAACGCUGGCGGCAGGCUUAACACAUGCAAGUCGAGCGGUAGAGAGUAGCUUGCUACUUUUGAGAGCGGCGGACGGGUGAGUAAUGCGUGGGAAUCUACCUGGUAGUGGGGGACAACAGUUGGAAACGACUGCUAAUACCGCAUACGCCCUACGGGGAAAGCGGGGAGUCUUCGGACCUCGUGCUAUCAGAUGAGCCCGCGUGAGAUUAGCUGGUUGGUGGGGUAAAGGCCUACCAAGGCGACGAUCUCUAGCUGGUCUGAGAGGAUGAUCAGCCACACUGGGACUGAGACACGGCCCCAGACUUCCUACGGGAGGCAGCAGUUGGGGGAAUAUUGGACAAUGGGCGCAAGCCUGAUCCAGCCAUUCCGCGUGAGUGAA
rnacentral:rRNA from 1 species